rnacentral:piRNA from 1 species
UGCCUUGAUGACGAACAAAGAUGGAAUGA